rnacentral:lncRNA from 1 species
UGAAUUUCUCCAGGGACUCAGAGACUUGAUCCACCCAGCCCAAGACCCAAGUUUCCACUUCUGUAAAAUGGGGUCAACAAAAGUUAAAGCCUUCGGGACAGCUGUGAGGACUGAAUGAAAUCUUGGAUAUUGUCACUGCCUGUAAACUCUGGAGCACAGUUCACAUGGAAAUGAUUACUUUCCCUCAUGGAGAUGGAGUAAAGGCCACGUACGAGAGAGGCUGGAAGUCUGACAUCAAAGCAUGGGCAGAGCCACAUUUUCACAUUUUCCUCUGAAGGCUCCAGCAAGAAUCCUUCCUUGCUUCUUCAUAGCUUCUUGUGGCUCCCAGCAAUCCUCGCUGCUCCUUGGUUUCUAGCUGCGUCGCUCCAUUGCCUGCCCGUCUUCACGUGGCGCUCUGUAUCUGUCUCUGCACCCAAAUCUGCCCCUCCUUUCUCUUAUAAAAACCCAAUCAUGGGAUUUAGGGUUGCUCUCAACGCCCCCCCCCCAGUGCAAUGUAACUUCAGCUUAAUCUGAUUACCUCUGCAUAGACCCUGUUUCCAAAUAAGGUUACCAAUGUAAUGGGGGCUAGUGCUUCACUCUUUUCUGGGGGACACAGUUCAACUCACUGUGAUCAUGUUCUGGGUGGAGACAGCAAAUGAAGACUCCGGCCUUACUUUCUACCAUUUUGUGGCCUUGGGCACUAGCUUCUUGGGCCUCCAGUGAAAGUAGGUAGGAAGGCAGGAUUUGUUAAAUGGCUAUAAUGUGAUGUAAACGCCAGAAACCAAGAUUUACCCGCCUGUAGGAAUGAUGAAGACUGCUAGGCCUCUCAGACAGGGUGUGUGGUUACACAGUUCCCGCUGGGAGGAAGCCAGAGCAGCAGAGUCCUGCUCUGGUCAUGGCUUG